AUCACAGACAACGUAACCCCGGGAAACCGGGGCUAAUAUCUGAUGAGGUCGCGAGAUCAAAGCUUCGGCGAUGGGGAUGAGCCUGCGGCUGAUUAGCUAGUUGGUGAGGUAAUGGCUCACCAAGGCGACGAUCAGUAGCUGGUCUGAGAGGACGAACAGCCACACUGGAACUGAGACACGGUCCAGACUCCUACGGGAGGCAGCAGUGAGGAAUAUUGGUCAAUGGGAGCAAUCCUGAACCAGCAAUGCCGCGUGUGGGAUGACAGGGCUUCGCCUUGUAAACCACUGUCGGACGGGACGAAAGGAGGCCUCGGACCUCUGGGACGGUACCGUCAAAGGAAGGGUCGGCUAACUACGUG
rnacentral:rRNA from 1 species